AGAGCGAACGCUGGCGGCAGGCCUAACACAUGCAAGUCGAACGCACCUUCGGGUGAGUGGCGGACGGGUGAGUAACACGUGGGAACGUACCUUUUGGUUCGGAAUAACGCAGGGAAACUUGCGCUAAUACCGAAUGUGCUCCGUAAGGAGGAAAGAUUUAUCGCCAUUAGAGCGGCCCGCGUUAGAUUAGCUAGUUGGUGAGGUAAAGGCUCACCAAGGCUACGAUCUAUAGCUGGUCUGAGAGGAUGAUCAGCCACAUUGGGACUGAGACACGGCCCAAACUCCUACGGGAGGCAGCAGUGGGGAAUCUUGCGCAAUGGGCGAAAGCCUGACGCAGCCAUGCCGCGUGAAUGAUGAAGGUCUUAGGAUUGUAAAAUUCUUUCAGUUAGGGACGAUAAUGACGGUACCUACAGAAGAAGCCCGGCUAACUUCGCGCCAGCAGCCGC
rnacentral:rRNA from 1 species